rnacentral:snRNA from 1 species
GCUCUUUUCAGCAGCAUGUCCUAAAAUUGGAAUGACUGGAGAUUAGCAUGACCCUUGUGCAAAGAUGACAUGCAAAUUUGUGAAGUGUUCAGUAUUCCA